CUUUGUCCUCCUCCUUCUCCCUCGUCCCACUGGACGUCUUCCUCCAGGAUCACAUGACAACGGGACAAAAUGCUCCUCAGCGCUCGCUCGGCCCCCAGCAGGAGGCUGCAAUCCGGAUGCUCUUUAACGGUCCACUGCAGCAGGUUCUGGAGAAGGAAAAUAAUAAAGAAACAAGUAGCUUCCUGGCUGCAGUGUGGCACCUCGUCGAGCCGCUGACUCACCUGAAUGUGGCUCAGGUAUCCAUGGAUGCGAGAGACCGGCGCCAGCAGCAGUGGUUUAGUCUGUUGAACUCCAUCGAGAGGAAGGAUGCCAGGGUGGUCGUGUAUCCGAGGUACAUAUCCGAAAACGCUGUCUGGACGAGUCAAAGCAGUCGGUGAGCAGCACCUUUGAUUUUUUUUCUCCAGUGAAAUGGACACCCGGCGUUUCCUUUUAAAAGCGCACCAACUUACAUCGUUUUGUCCGAUGAGCUGCACCAGGAUGUCGCCAACCACAGAUUUCCAGUGCUCAGCAGUUAAUCGCUCCUGCAGGGUGUUUCUGAAGAGCAGAUGUCGCUGUAACAGCUGCUCCACAAACUUCAGAUAUGUCUGACUGAAUCACGACACAAAUAAAACAAGGAUUUUGAUUGCAAAUACAAGUUUAAGGCAAAGCCCAAAUAUUCAAAGCCUGGUUCAAAGAACGUGUGUAAGCAACCAGUAACGAUCUCUGCAGCUCAACUGUCUGAAGACUCUGCUUUUUCUGCACUUACUACAGCUCCAGGGUCAUCUGGUGGGCUUGUGGUGUCUUGUAUUUAUCGUACAGCUGGUUUAAGGUUGACACGUACUCCCACUCUGAAUGUAAAAGCUGCAUCGCCACCUGAUGUCGUGCAUCUGUACGAGAAAGAAGACGCGCCUCAAUGUUCAUUCUUCAGCAAAUAAUGUGACAGUUUCUGAACGGAAGUUGAAGCGAAGUGAUUUUCAUAUAAAUACAGAUAAUCUGUUUACUAUCCAUGUCUAAAACAGUAACAAAAGUAUUGCAAUAUGAAUAUAUUUAUAGCACCAUGAUUGAUGCAAAUGAUUCGUGCAUCUCCUGACUGCUGAACUCACAAAUCGAAAGAACUCGCUCAAGUCUUUGCUUCAAAUGUGGCCUUUGAAAACAUCUCGUGAGGCUCCUUCUCAUUCGGCUGCGUUCCCGGUGUGUUGCAGCGGCUCACCUGUGCCUUCGCUCAGCCCCGCUUUCAGGCCCUGCAGGAAACAGUGCAGGAGCAGCUUCCCUCUGGACAGAGCGGACCGCCGCCCACAGGCUGCUCCUGCUGGCUCGCUGCAGUGCGCCACGGUGGACGGACGGGAGGACGUCUGAACAGCGGUUGUUUGCUGUCCGCCACUUAAAACGGUGACGACAUCAAUAUGAACAUUCAAACAUGAAGAAGGCCUUUGUGUCCUAUUCUCUGAUUUGACUGAAGUUUGCAGCACAAACCAGCAGAGAGUUGUGCUGAUGUAUGAGAGCAAUGUUCAUAGGAAAUGCAAAUUAUUUGAUUUAAUUUGCUUUUUGUCCUUAACGUGUGAGCUGUCCCUCUCGCAUGCAUUUAGUUAUUUCCAAUAUUUCUAUUUCAUCUGGGAAAUUAACAGUAGCCAAAAGCUUUCAGCCUCAACCAAAUGAAGUGAAGUCUAACGACAAAACCAAUGGGAGCCUGUUUUCCUUCCCUUAUGAAUUAAAAAGUGGGAAAAGUUAGAUUUAACAACAUUUUGAGAGAGAGGUUUGUUCCCUGUCUUCUGAACUAUGUUUUUUUUUAAUACACCAUAUACCUGAUUUUCUUAUGUGUAAAGCUGCGUAUUGUACACAUGUUUGCUUUUCACCUUUCUCUGUGUUUGGAUGCGCAGCUCUUUCCGUCCUGCUGAGGCGUCUCCCUUCUGCUGUACAGCUGCAGGAUCUGACACCGCAUGUCUCCCAGUUCUUCCUGCAGGACGACAAGACGCAAAGGAAGUGCAACCAAACUUCUCCCAUGAGAUCCUCUCACCAGUGAAGCCGACCUGAGGCCUCACCCUCAGAGACUCGACCAGCGCCUCCAGCCGGAGAGCUUUCUUCUGGCAGCUCCUCCUGUUCUCCUGCAGCUCCUCCCUCAGGUACGCGUCUCCGUGUUGGAUCUGGCUGAGCUCCUGCAGGGCGCUGGUGAACCCCGUCUUCAGCUCCGAGACCAUGCAUUGCAACUGAGGGGACAGCAAUCAGGUUCAUUAACAAGACCACGACAUUGUUGCCGUUUGCACGUCUAGAGGGAUCCUAUGAAUAUGAGAGAUGUCACGUUAAGGUCGAGACUAUUUGGAUUCUGGAUUGCAGGGUUGUGCUUCAGAGGUGAAGCUUAAUACUUUUGGGAUGAUAAGAGCUGUUAAAACACGUUAACUGUCCCUUUAACAGAGCCGGGCUGCUCGAUGAGGGAAGGGUACCUUGGAGAUUUCAGUGACGAGCUCGGCCUCUUGAGGCUUCAUGACCUGAUCAGAGAGACACACAAACAAGGCUGUUUGCAAACACCCAGUCGAUAAUAUCUUCACAAACAGUUACGUGUUUGUGUAUGAACUGUGACGAGCACAGCUGAGUUUGUUAUUGACCCCAUGCAGAGAAAAAAGAUCAGCAUUCACACAACGAGACGAAGCAGGAAGGUCACCGCGUCUUUGUUCUGUGAAUCUUUCACAUCUUCUUGACCAAAUGCACCGUAUUUGUUCUUCCUAAAGCCUUUACGAUUAGCUACUAGACGAGAUGCAAUAACAUUCUUAACCAGAUGUAAUGUUUUUUGUGUCGUAUUCUUGUUUGUUCGUGGUACCUGCUCAGAUGUUGCCCCUGCCAGCAGCCCCUCUGCUAAGGAAGUGGCAAGCCAGCCAAAGAGCUCAGCCCUGCAGGGGAAAAGGCUGCAGCAGCCAAGAUCCCUCCUUUUAAGUGUGCUGACAGAAGGCACGGAUCAGCAAAAGGAUAAAUAAAAUAAAACAAUGUGUGAGGGCUUUUAAACUACAAAUAUAUAUUAUAUAAAAUCAGUUCAGAAGCCACUAAAAGCAGUUAUCUGUAGAGCAUUUUAUAACACUCAAGAAAUGAGAAUAAAUCGCAUCUCUAUUGUAGAUUAUGAAAUACAUUUUUGAUCAUAAGCAUUAAUAUCUCCAAAGUAAAAUCAUGUUUUCAGCGGUUUCCUGAUUAUGAAAGAGUUAAACACAAAACAUGAAAAGCCUUGAGUGCUGUAGCAAAGGGAGGAAAAGGAAGGACACUUACAUUACAUUGCAUUACAUUACAGGUCAUUUAGCUGACGCUUUUAUCCAAAGCGACUUGCAUUACAUUUUUAACCCGUGGCUUUUUACAUUUUUGCCUGGGGAGCAAUUAGGGGUUAGGCGACUUGCUCAGGGACACUGAACCACCAACCAAUCUCUACCCCUGCGCCACGA
ensembl:lncRNA